rnacentral:rRNA from 1 species
GGGGAAUAUUGGACAAUGGGGGGAACCCUGAUCCAGCCAUGCCGCGUGUGUGAAGAAGGUCUUCGGAUUGUAAAGCACUUUAAGUUGGGAGGAAGAGCUCCGGGCUAAUACCCUGCGAGUUUUGACGUUACCAACAGAAUAAGCACCGGCUAACUUCGUGCCAGCGGCCGCGGUAAUACGAAGGGUGCGAGCGUUAAUCGGAAUUACUGGGCGUAAAGCGCGCGUAGGUGGUUUGUUAAGUUGGAAGUGAAAGCCCCGGGCUCAACUUGGGAAUUGCUUUCAAAACUGACGGGCUAGAGUACGGUAGAGGGUAGUGGAAUUUCCUGUGUAGCGGUGAAAUGCGUAGAUAUAGGAAGGAACAUCAGUGGCGAAGGCGACUGCCUGGACUGAUACUGACACUGAGGUGCGAAAGCGUGGGGAGCAAAC